GCGGAAUGUCCUCGAAGGAAAAUUUGAUGAUGCAUGUGCUGGUCUAAAGGCACUGUAUGACCUGGGAUAUUCCCCCACUGACAUCAUCACAACCCUCUUCCGAAUUAUAAAGAACUACGAUAUGGCAGAAUAUGUAAAGCUGGAAUUCUUGAAGGAAACUGGUUUCGCACACAUGAGGAUCUGCGAUGGGGUCGGUUCAUAUCUCCAAAUGUGUGGUCUGCUGGCUAAACUAUCAUUGGUUCGAGAAACAGCUAAGGCUUCAUGAUGAGACAGGCAUUGAAGUCCUAAUCAACUGAGAUGAGUCCUCGAUGGUCUUCCAUUUUAUCGCGUUUUCCUAGCUUCUCUUGAAAAUAG
rnacentral:misc_RNA from 1 species